CCUUGAGUUAACUCAGUGCAAAACCAUAUCUACCUGGAUGUAGAUUGGAACAGCAUAAACAACUUUCAGAUUGAGAGUCCAUUUGCAUGAUAGAAAGAGAUAAUACUAUGAAAAUUGAGGGAAAAAAGAUACAAAUAAUUUAGGGGUAUAGGUAAAGAAAGAUUAAACUGGGUAAAUUCCUGGCACAAAUUAACUGAAAUGGGGGUGCUUAAAAAAAGAGGAAAUGGCAUAAGAAAAGGCAAAGAAAGUGGCAUAGGAUAUUAGACGGAAAACACUAGAAAAGGUGAGUGUUCUAUGGCAAUUUCUCCAAGGAAAUUAAAUAUGGGACAAAGUGAGCCAAGGAGGCUUUGGUUUAUUGGUUAAAGGUUCAGAUUUUAGGAAUUAGAAGUUGUAUUUACAUGCAUGCACUUGGAAUGUUUGAAGUAGCAGUUUCCGCCUCUGUUUGGGCUGCCUAAUCCACUUGUUCUCAAGAGGGACAUCUACAAUUGCAUCUGCAACUGUGGAUACUACUCUACCUAAAAUGAGACUAAUUAUUCUUGUGUUACCGUUGUAAUGUUCAGGGCAGCUGAUAAUCAUCUUCUUUCAAAUGAACAAACAUAUCACCGUAGUUAUCUAUCUGUUCACUCUCAUUAUUGUUCAUUGUCUCUAUAGAUCACAUGUACUGCUUUUGUGGCCCAAAUUUCCAUUCAUUUUGGUGACAUGAAAUAAAAUGUCAUUUUGUUCUGCUUCGUUGUCAGAAAAAUGCUCAAGACAGUUUUGAACGUGUUUCUGGGAAUUGUAGCAAAUCUUGGCAUAGAGUGGAUGCGCAGUCACUCAGGCCUUGACGCAAAGAUGAAGACUCUAGAAAGAAGAAUUCGUGUGCUGACCAAAAAAGCACGUGACAUACACAUGACAAUAAGACAUGAGCAAGACCUACAUUCAGGAUAUAAAAGAAAGAGGGAAGUUGGGGAUUGGUUGAAAAAUGUAAAAAGAAAGAAAAUGAAAUACCAAGGCCUGAAAAGAGAUUACCAGAGGAGACCAUUUCCUUCGCGUAUUUCAUUGGCACGGUACGUUGAUGCAAUGAUUCAGGAGGCAUCAGAUCUUCUUGAACAAGGGUCAUUUUGCGGUGGCUAUAUGAUUACUGUCCAUGAGGAGAGCAAGCCCCUGGUAACAGAAGAGCUGAUAGGCCAAUCAGUUCAACAAAAUUUGACAGACACACGGGCUUUGUUAAUGGAUGACAAGGUUUCAUGCAUUGGAAUCUAUGGUAUGCCUGGAGUAGGCAAGACGGCUGUAGCAAGUCAUAUCCAUAACGAGCUAUUAAAAGAAGACAAAUUUUUGAAGCAUGUAUAUUGGUUCAGUGAUGCUAAUUCUGAAGUCUCCAAAUUGCAGGACGACUUGGCGACAGUCUUGCAUCUCGAUCUCCCAAAUAUGGAUGCCGGUGAUGAUAGGAGGGCAGCCAAAUUAGCCUCGGCAUUAGAGAGGAAGAACAAGUUUGUGAUCAUACUCGACGGUUUAUUGACGCCUAUUGAUGUCGGAACGAUAGGAAUUCCUCUAGGAAAAGAAGGGAGGAAGUUGAUUGUGGUUAGUCGAUCAUUGGAUGUAUGCCACAGAACGGGAUGCCAAAAGGAAAUUAAGGUGCAACCUCUUUCUGCUGAUGAAGGUCGGAUGCUGUUUAUGGAGAAACUUCGUAGUAGGGACCAAGAGCUCCUACCGGAUGUCCAAGAGAUUUCCAGGUCUAUUUCAGAAAAGUACGGAGGUUUGCCUCUUGGGAUCAUCGCUAAGGCGAGAAGCAUGAUAGGGGCUAAUGACAUUCGCCAGUGGAGAGAUGCAUUGGCAGAGAUGGAAGAACGACCAGAUGAUGCGGUUUUUGAGGUAAUGAAAAGCAGUUUUUAUGGCUUGAGAAAUGAAAGGUGGAAGACCAGCUUCUUGCAUUGCUCUAUCCUCUUGAAAGAUGAAACAGUUCCAAGGGAUGAAGUAGUUAGAGGGCUCAUCUCGGAAGGAUUUCUAGAUAGAAGAUGCAGAGAAGCAAAGCUUGAUCAGGGUCAUACCAUACUCAAAGCACUCGAGAAGGCUUGUUUACUGGAUCGUGUUGUGAAUGAUGGAGUGGAUUGCUUGAAGAUGCAUCCUUUGAUGAGAGACAUGGCCACUGAGAUAAUGAAGAGUGAUCCAACCUACAUGGUAAAACAUCAUCAUUAUUUUCCUGCAUUUUUCUUUUGUAGGACUAGGAAUGAAGUCUAAUUGCAAUGGAAGUAGGGAGUAUUGUUUGAGUUGAGAUGGUACCAUUAACGAAUGGGGCAGUGCCAAAAUUGCUCUGCUUUUAGACAUACCAACAGAAUGCCAUAUCCCAGUGACCAUGCUGCUGUUAAUCGGUUGGACUUGGACAAGCGAAAACGUUGUUGGAGGUUCAACUCAGAAGCCAGAAAUUUGCUCUUUCGACCUUGUCGAAGCUUUCCUGUUUCUCUGUUUGUCGGGAUCUCUUCCCAAGCUUCUUGAAUUCCGGUGACUCGCUUUUCUUCCCUUCUGCCUCCCGCUGGUAAACACCCCAACUGAGUAGUUGAAAGUAAAUAUAUAGAGAUCCAAAUACUCUUUUUCUUUUUGUCUUUUUACUAUCCACCAAUUUUGCCUUUUGAAUCAUGUUUAUGCAUGCCAAAUUAAGCAAUUGAAAGUUGGAACUCAUUCUAAAACAAACAAAUUUAUACCCAACAAAAACACAUGAGAAAGAAGCCAAACUUGGGGCAAAGAACUUGGAAGAUGCAAAAAACGCCUCAAAAUGCACCAAAUCAAGAAAAGUUUUUCACAGACACAUCUGCAGUAAAGUUCUUAAAACAAACCCUUAAAAAACACGAAUCCACAUCAUUUUGCAAUAGCAUUCCUGAUUUUAAUCAGUAAUACAAUCAAAUGACUAAACCCUUUGAAACCAAACUAUGAAGUCACAUGUUAAUCAUGUUGAAUGGAUCAAGAUCUUUGAAUAGAUUAGAUUUUAUUUUCUCUUUAGAAUGGAAGCUCUUUUUCUUUUUUCAUGUUCUAACCUGAAUCAGAGAUUAAGCAAGGGUUAUGGCCCAGCAUUUCACUACUAGACCAGAGAAAUUGUAGACUAGGAGGCCGCACAUCAAUAGCAAGGAGAAAUCGAAGAAGACCAGUACAAGAUAUGAAGUCCUUGCUGGUGUUUUUUGCUAUCAACAUAUGGUAUUAUCUCUGAGAACACAUGACAAAAGUGCCAAAGGCUUGAAGAGGUGAGGACAAAGAUAACCACUGGGAAGACAAUCCGCAACCAGAGCAACACAUGAGAUACACAUGCUACUCCAGACGCUAAACACUGACAGAGCAUCCAAUGGAAGCUUAAGGCCCUGCUAGAGCUCAUAGACUCAAGACGGAUCGCUUUGGGGAAUGGAUAAAAGGGUUCAGUAGGGAAACUGGAAAUGGCAUCUAAUAUGCUGGUUGAGCUGUGGGGGCUUUAAGAUGGAUUUCCAAGAAAGCCACUCCACGUAACUGUAAGAACAUGCUUGAAAGAACUUGACAUUUCUAGCCAAAUAGUAAUAUAGGGAAGUGUUUUGUGCUAUAUGUUUUGGUGGGGAGGGGGGGAGUGGGGGUUUCUACAGCCACAGAUGCCCUGGUGCUGAAAACUUUGUCAUUCAUUUCCACUUCUUGUACCAUAAAGAACUGUUACUUAUUAACUGUCAUUUUAACCUUUAAAAUUGACACAAA